rnacentral:tRNA from 1 species
GCCUGCCUGACUCAGUUGGUAGAGCAUGAAACUCUUGAUCUCGGGAGCAUGAGUUCAAGUCCCAUGUUGGGUG